rnacentral:rRNA from 1 species
GACGAACGCUGGCGGCGUGCUUAACACAUGCAAGUCAGGGGGCCCGCAAGGGUCACCGGCGAACGGGUGCGUAACACGUGAACAACCUGCCCGAGCGAGGGGGAUAGCCGGCCCAACGGC